CCACCUGGGGAGUACGCCGGCAACGGUGAAACUCAAAGGAAUUGACGGGGGCCCGCACAAGCGGAGGAACAUGUGGUUUAAUUCGAUGAUACGCGAGGAACCUUACCCGGGCUCAAACGACACAGGAACGGCCCUGAAAGGGGUCGGCUCUACGGAGCCUGUGUCGAGGUGCUGCAUGGUUGUCGUCAGCUCGUGCCGUGAGGUGUCGGCUUAAGUGCCAUAACGAGCGCAACCCCCAUCGACAGUUGCUAACAGGUUAGGCUGAGGACUCUGUCGAGACUGCCGGCGCAAGCUGCGAGGAAGGCGGGGAUGACGUCAAAUCAGCACGGCCCUUACGUCCGGGGCGACACACGUGUUACAAUGGCAGGUACAGCGGGAAGCCACCUGGCGACAGGGAGCGGAACCCGAAAGCCUGUCUCAGUUCGGAUUGGAGUCUGCAACCCGACUCCAUGAAGCUGGAUUCGCUAGUAAUCGCGCAUCAGCCACGGCGCGGUGAAUACGUUCCCGGGCCUUGUACACACCGCCCGUCAAGCCAUGGAAGCCGGGGGUGCCUGAAGUGCGCUGCCGCAAGGAGCGCCCUAGGGUAAAACCGGUGACUGGGGCUAAGUCGUAACAAGGUAACCGU
rnacentral:rRNA from 1 species